UUUUAAAGUAAUGUUUUAGUUUCCAAUCCUCAACAGUAAAGUGAUUCAGACUAAACUAUCAUACCUUCUUUUUUUGGCACUCUUUCAUGCAUAGGCCUGACUGAGGGGUCAGUCUUUUGUGUUAAAGAUACUUCAUAUGACUCUCUGUUCUUAUUCCUUAAUUCCUCAUAUGUAAUAUUUUUUCUUUUAGGACUUUCUUCAAGGUUGGGAUCAGGUCCUAAAACAACAAACAGUUAAUAAAUGGUAAUAAAAGGAUUUGUAUAACUCUAAAGCAACUAAAUUUUACAAAUGCUCCUUACAAAAGGAGCUACAAUCAAAAUAGAAUAAAGAAUCAAAUUAUUACCACCAUUUCACAGGUACUAUACUUUCACCAAGAUAAUCAUCAAACUGAAAUCUACUUCCACCCAUAUUUUUAAGCUUUUAUUUCUAAAAAUUAAAAUGGACAUCAAAAAUUUUAAAAACUAAACCACAGCCAGAAGAAAAAUAUGUAUCAUAAUAUAUAACAGUACAAUUUAAACUCAUUAAAAUACCAGUGUUUUAAACUGGAGUUACUCAUACUGUAUACAGAAUUAAAAGAGAAAUAUAUUCUACUAGGGACAACUGAAUAAAACUUGACAUAGCAUAGAUUUUACUCAAUAUAUAGUUAAAUAGUCCUAUAACCACAGACUCUAUGAAAACAACUCCAGCUAUUUUCAAAAAUCAUUUAUUUUACCUUUUUACAAAAUUUAAACAAAAAUACUGAAAAUAGGCCAGGCACAAUGGCUCACAACUAUAAUCCCAGCACUUUGGAAGGCCGAGCCACUGCACCCAGCCAUUUUCAACCAUAAACAUUUAUUCUGCUAAAUAAAUAUAUACUAUACUUAUAUAAAGCAAAGAGGAUUUAAAUUUCUCCUAAUUAGUUCUAGUAUUAUAUGAUGGUUCAAAACUACAUUUUUCUUACUAAAAAAAGAAUGUAAAGAAAAAUAUUAUAACCUUAUAUUGGGAUUAAAACACUUUGCAUUUCAUUAGUAAUAAGUAAUUACUGAACUCAUUUCCCUUCACCAUAUAUGUUAUAUUAAAAAUUCUGAAGGAAAUCGUGUGUACUUCAGGAACCUUGGGUUCUUAACCCCACUCUGCUGACAAUUAGGAAAUGUCCUUGGGCAAAUCACUAAGCUUCUUUGAAUCCUGGUUUUCUCAAUUGCGAAAUAUGGUAGUUUGAGCAGAUGAUCUCUGAAGUUCCUUCCAGGUCUAAUACUUUUUCUUAUAAAAAAUAUUUUACCAUUAUAAAAUUCUGGAACAAAUAAUGAAAAUAUACAUCAGACAGAAGAAGACUGGGGAGAAUUUCCCACACUAUGGAGAGAACAUGAUUUACUAUUUUGGGAAGGUUAUAAAGAACUGGAAGGAAUAAAAAAAUGUAAAGUGGCACUGAUUUAAAUCUAACUGUAAUAAACUCUAAGUCUCCUAACAGCUCUGAAGGAGUGCUUGCUAUUUUAAAAGAUUAAUAACUCUCUGAAUUCCUGGUAAAAGAAAGCAGAACUAAAGUAGGACUUAAACCAAAGAAUAAGAUGCCCUGGUAGGGGAGGAUAGCAUCUGGGGCAAAGCAAAAGCAGGCCACUGCUGGCCCAUGUGGAGAGCAGUAAAAAAGUAGCCACUUUGAUUUAGAGAAGGGGGUCAGAAGGCAGAGCAGUGGAUGGAUGGAUGGCUGCUGUGGAAGGCAUAAAAUAAUAUUAAGACAUGGCCUUGCUAAGUAGUCUGUGGGUAGAUACCAAAGGGCUUUUUGUUUGUUGGCUUUUGUAUGGAAAAAAACUAUAUAACAGAAUUUCCUAAUGCAAAUGGUGGGGAAGAUGCAAGUCAUCACAAGGAAAGAGUUAGUGCAUGUCUAGAAUACAGUAGUGCCCCCUUAUCUGUGGUUUCGCUUUCCAGGGUUUCAGUUACCUGCAGUCAACCAUGGUCUGAAAAUAUUACAUGGAACAUUCCAGAAAUAAACAGUUCAUAAAUUUUAAAUUACACCCUGUUCUGAGUAGUGUGAUAAAAUCUUGUGAGGUUCUGCUCUGGUCCAUCCAGGACUUGAAUCAUCCCUUUGUCCAGCAUAUCCACACUGUCUACACUACAUGCCUGUUAGUAACUUAGUAGCCAUCUAGAUCAAAAAAACAUAGAACAUAAAGGAUUUGGUAAUAUCUGAGGUUUCAGGCAUCCACAGGGGUCUUCGAACUUAUCCCCCAUGGAUAAGGGGGGACUACUGUACAAGAAGAAUGGAUUUGAACUUCAGACUGGUUAAAUGAGACAUAGUGAGGAACAAGGACAGCUGCCUUUGGAGAUAAGAUAGUGACUUUAGCCAUUCUCUCCUAAUCUGCCCAUUCCCUUCCUUCCUUUUCUGACUAAUUUGAUGCCUUUGCUUCCAACCAUUAAAGAAAAAAAUAAAAAAAUCAGAGUUGAGGAUUAAGAAGCUCUCAAUAACUUUCAUCCAAAUUCUUUAAUCAUCUGAACUUCCAUUCUUUCCUGUCUCUUCCUUUAUACAAGGCUAAUACUCACCCCUUUGCCCCGACUUUUGCUCUUAAGUAGUGCUGUCCAACAUAACUUUCUGCAAUGAUGAAAAUGUUCUAUAUUGGCACUAACACGGUAGCCACUAGCACAUGUGACUAUUGAGCAAGUGAAAUGCUACCAAAGCAAUUGAGAAAUUGAAUUUUAAAUUUCAUUUAACUUUAAUUAAUUUAAAUAGCCACAUAUGGCUAGCGGCUACUCUGACCUACCUAGAACCCCCUUCUGCAUUCUCUAGAACCUUCUCUGACCUAUAAUCAACUUCUCCCUUUCCACUGUAUACCCUCCCCUCCCUUUAACUUCUUUCCCUCUAAUCUUUUAAAAUUUAAAGAGUAUACUCUACAAAGGUCCAUAAUCCCUUAUCCAAACCUUGGGGUCAGGUAUGUUUCACUAUUCAAAGUUUCUGAGGUUUUAGAAAAAUACUACAGUAAAUACCCCUUAUAUUACUUAAUAUCCAUCCAUUCAGAGGUUUAGGACAGGAAUGAGUAAGCAAACACAUUAAUAUUUCUAUAAUGAAAUAAAGGAAAAAUCUUAUCUGGCAAAGUAAAUAAAGUCUACGUUUAUAUAACUUAUGUGAAUUUAGGUCAGGGUAUUCUGCUAAAUGAAUUCAGGUCAGAUUUUAUUACCAGUUUAAUUAUUAAAAAACAAAAACAGGCCGGGGGCAGUGGCUCACACCUGUAAUCCCAGCACUUUGGGAGGCCGAGGCGGGCGGAUCACGAGGUCAGGAGAUCAAGACCAUCCUGGCCAACACAGUGAAACCCCAUCUCUACUAAAAAUACAAAAAAUUAGCCGAGCGUGGUGGCGGGCACCUGCAGUCCCAGCUACUCAGGAGACUGAGGCAGAAUGGCGUGAAGCUGGGGGGGCGGAGGUUGCAGUGAGCCGAGAUCGCACCACUACAGUCCAGACUGGGCGACAGAGCAAG
rnacentral:lncRNA from 1 species